AGGGUUCGAUUCUGGCUCAGGAUGAACGCUAGCGACAGGCUUAACACAUGCAAGUCGAGGGGCAGCACGGGAGUAGCAAUACAACUGGUGGCGACCGGCGCACGGGUGAGUAACGCGUAUGCAACCUACCUAUCAGGAGGGGAAUAACCCGGCGAAAGUCGGACUAAUACCGCAUAAAACAGGGGCACCGCAUGGUGAUAUUUGUUAAGAAAUUCGCUGAUAGAUGGGCAUGCGUUCCAUUAGGUAGUUGGUGAGGUAACGGCUCACCAAGCCGACGAUGGAUAGGGGAACUGAGAGGUUGGUCCCCCACACUGGUACUGAGACACGGACCAGACUCCUACGGGAGGCAGCAGUGAGGAAUAUUGGUCAAUGGGCGAGAGCCUGAACCAGCCAAGUCCGCGUGAAGGAAGAAGGAUCUAUGGUUCGUAAACUUCUUUUGCAGGGGAAUAAAGUGCGGGACGUGUCCUGUUUUGUAUGUACCCUGAGAAUAAGGAUCGGCUAACUCCGUGCCAGCCGCCGC
rnacentral:rRNA from 1 species